rnacentral:misc_RNA from 1 species
GCAAACUUGGUCAUUUAGAGGAAGUAAAAGUCGUAACAAGGUCAUCGUAGGUGAACCUGCGGUGGGAUCAUCAAUAAUUCAAACUUAUACCACUUUAUGGUGUGAAUUUUGUGUUUUUUCUUGAAAUUUUCAUUUUCUUUGGGUAUCUUUCUUCUCAUUUCCCUCUUAGGAGGGGAAGGAGAAAGGGAGGUACUCGAGAGGAAAACAUCUGCACUUUAUAAAACGAGUGUCUUUAUUUUUAAUGGCUAAACCCAAACAUUUUCUUAUAUUUUGAAUACCAAGCUGUAAUGGCAUGGAAUUAAUUAUAUAAAACUAUUAAUGGUGGAUCACUUGGCUCUCGCAUCGAUGAAGAACGCAGC